AUUGAACGCUGGCGGAAUGCUUUACACAUGCAAGUCGAACGGCAGCACGGGAGCUUGCUCCUGGUGGCGAGUGGCGAACGGGUGAGUAACAUAUCGGAACGUACCCAGUCGUGGGGGAUAACUCUCCGAAAGGAGAGCUAAUACCGCAUACGUCCUGAGGGAGAAAGCGGGGGACCUGCAAGGGCCUCGCGCGAUUGGAGCGGCCGAUAUCGGAUUAGCUAGUUGGUGAGGUAAAGGCUCACCAAGGCGACGAUCCGUAGCGGGUCUGAGAGGACGACCCGCCACACUGGAACUGAGACACGGUCCAGACUCCUACGGGAGGCAGCAGUGGGGAAUUUUGGACAAUGGGGGCAACCCUGAUCCAGCCAUUCCGCGUGAGUGAAGAAGGCCUCGGUUGUAAG
rnacentral:rRNA from 1 species